CCCGCGGUUUGAAGCAGAGUCUCUCCUGAGGCUAAAGUUGAAUUAACUUUAAUUUUAUGAAAAGAAAACGACGACGGAAACCGAGACGAAAACGCGACGAAAACGCGACGGAACGAUUUAACAGUUGUUGAAACAGCUUGAUCGGCCACGUCGGGUUGAAGGAGGGGCAGCGCCGUGUGUCAGGGGAUCAAACCUGCAGCUGCAGGGAUGGACCGUCCACAAACCACCACCUCCCCCACAGGGACUGCCCUCACCUGGAUGGACUGAGCUCAGCUGGAUAGACUGACCUCACCUGGACCACCGUGAGUCGACCAGCACAAGACGCAGGGCAGAGGGGGAGCACCGGAGCGCCGGAUCACCGGAGCGCCGGAGCGGAUCAGGCCACGUGCCAACACCUCGGAAUCUGACCUCCUUUUGUUCCCUGACUCCUGAGCUCUGUCUCUCCUGCUCACAUCUGAAGAACCAUGUGAUGGUAAUUAGGCCAAAGCCCAUUAAAAAGUCAAAUAAGAGAGAAUACAUUAUCAUUGAGGAGCCAGUACCUGAUGAUUUUCAGCCAAGUGUGACAGAGAAGGACGAAGACACAAAGUGCUGCUGCUGCACCAAGACAGAAAAGUUCCAUUGUUUACUGUAGUGAGAAUAAACCACA